rnacentral:tRNA from 1 species
GCCUGACUGGCUCAGUUGGUAGAGCGUGAGACUUGAUCUCGAGGUCGUGAGUUUGAGCCCCAUGCUGGGUC